rnacentral:rRNA from 1 species
UCUUUGUAGUAAUGCAGGGCAUACGGCUCAGUAACACGUAGUCAACCUACCCUAUGGACGAGAAUAAUCUCGGGAAACUGAGCAUAAUUCUUGAUAGAUCAUAAUGCCUGGAAUGGUUUAUGAUUAAAAUGAUUCGUCGCCAUAGGAUGGGACUGCGGCCUAUCAGCUUGUUGGUGAGGUAAUGGCCCACCAAGGCGAUUACAGGUACGGGCUCUGAGAGGAGAAGCCCGGAGAUGGGUACUGAGACACGGACCCAGGCCCUAUGGGGCGCAGCAGGCGAGAAAACUUUGCAAUGUGCGAAAGCACGACAAGGUUAAUCCGAGUGAUUUCUGCUAAAGAAAUCUUUUGCUAGUCCUA